rnacentral:lncRNA from 1 species
UGUAGGUUGCAGACGUGGCUCAGAUCCUGCAUUGCUGUGGCUCUGGCAUAGACUGGCAGCUACAGCUCUGAUUAGACCCCUAGCCUGGGAAUCUCCAUAUGCCGCGGGAGUGGCCCAAGAAAUGGCAAAAAAGACAAAAAAAAAUACUGUUUUGAUAUUCUCGUAAUAUAUCCUUGCUAAGGGUAUUAUAUAAAAUACUAAGAAUUACACAAAGUACUAAAUGAUAAACAGUUUAAGGAAAUAGAACAAUUCAUUGUUAACAUACCUUAAGACAAAUAGUGGCUAGCUUUGAGUCAGAAAAAUGUGAAAUUGAAUCCCAAUUCUGUUAGUUACUAUUUGAAUCAAUAAUUUAAUGUCUUAGACCUCAGUGUGCUACUAUUAUUAUUUAAACAGUAAUUUGAAUUCUAUGUGGUAUGUGUAAUAAACUGAGACUAACAAUAGCUGGCACACAUAAUAAAUAUUAGUUACAGAAGAUAUUUGAUAAUAUCUCCCUAUAUGAAUUCUCUGCCUAUAGGCUCUCAAACUUUUCCACUUUUACCAAACAUUUCCUUAAGCCACUCCUGGAAUUACUAAACUGCCUUACUUAAGAACAAUCCCCUUCUCUUGAAUAUAAGAUCUCUUCAGUCUGCUAUUCAGUCAAGUGCUGCUGUUUAUUGGUGAGUAAAAAACAAUUUCCUUCACAAGAGUUUUCAACUUAUGGUUAAAGCAUAUUCUUAUACUGUUCCCAUCUUCUGGACUCAUUUGUUCCUAUACUCUCUAAUUUUUCCUAUACUCUCUAAUUGUUUCCUAUAUUCUGUACUCAUUUGUUUCUACACCCUGUAACUUUCUUGUAUAGCUUUCAAGUGCAAAAACAUAAAAACAAAUUGCUUUAUCAUAAUUGAUGUCAUUAUAUUUAAUAGCCCUUUAUAUUUAACAAUACAGUGGUUUGUGUUAUAAACUGUAUCAUAUAUUAUUUUGCUUCAUCUCCCCUAAAUAUAAUGUAAAAAAUCUUAAUGAAAUGUGCCAAGCCUUACACCUCUUUGAAUUCUCUGCUGAGAAGGAGAACAGUGCCUAAUCAAAGUACAAGAGGCAAAACCUUCACCUCUACACUCUUAAGGUUUUUUCUUUGGGCCUGAGAAUUAAACUGACAUAAGACAGAUUAACAGGAGAAAAGCAUACAGAUAUAUAGGUUUUAUGUGACAGGGGCCCUUCAUGAGAAAUGAACACCCAAAUAAGUGAUGAAGUCUAUUAGAUUCAACAAAGAGAGGCAAGACACAUUGCUUCUACAAUAUUUCAAAAUCAUGAGCCACUCCAAAAGCAUAUUUACUAUCAGUACAAAUAUUGGAAGUUUUGUACUUGGCUAAAAUAUAAGCCUGUAUAAGAGUGUAUAAUUCAGCCUGCAGUGCUGAAGUAAAAAUCAGUAGGUCAAGGACCUAACCAACAAAAAGCCAUACACUCCAUUUACUUCCUCACUUCUAUAAACUAAACUUGCCUUUGUUUACUUCCUCCAAUUUCCUUUCCCUUCUAUAAGUGUUCUCAUUCCCUUGCCAUGUGGGGACUUGCACAUGGCUUGGCAUGGGCAUGGUUGCAGAUCCCAAACUGCAAUUCUCUGCUGAUCUCAAAUAAACCCAUUUUGCUGGAGAAAUAUCUGGGAGUCUAUUUGUUUCUGAUCAACAUUUUGGUGGCCCUUGUGGGGACCAAAGAAGACCCCCAAUAUCUCUAAGGUGGUGAGAAAACAAGUGAGGCACCAUAAUUGAGCCCAUUGCGCUUGUCUAUCUCAGAAAACUCUAGAGUUUGAAGGUAUUUCUUGUUUUUUUGUUUUGUUUUGAUCUGAGUUCACAUACUCUUUGUGUCUGAAGCUCCACAGGGAUCUGUUUAAAGACUUCAUCUUUUUGGUUAAGUCUUUGUUUUGUAUAUGAAUACUUCUUUGGCACUUUGGUCUGAUUUGAGAUCAGACUGUUUCACUAAAGCUGGCUAGUCUUCAACCCAUUCCUUAGGGAACAUAGGUUGUUUUUCGAAACACUGUCAAAUUUUUCAGCGUUCUGCCAAUUCCUCUAUAAUGGCUGUCUUCUGGAGAUGGCCUUAAAAAAAGUAUUUGACCUGGCUCCUCUAGGACCAAGCUGUUUUCUUAAGAUUGGCCAGGAUGGCUUAUAAACUGUUCAAAUUAAGCCAUCUGUACUGUUAACUAUUUAAGCUGUUUUAAAAUUAUUCUUUACCCUGGAGGAAGAAAAUUCUCUGAAAUAGGAUCCCAAUAUCUAAAUGUCUUGAGGGAGCUUCAUUCCCUCCUCCUAGGGAAUCUGGCCAAUUUUACAUUUAAAAACAUGGCCGUCCCUUAGAUGCAUUUAUCAUUGAAUGGACCAACCUGACCAUAGGCAAGAUCAAUGGCCAUUGAAGAGAACUUCUAAAAUACCCAAACUUAAUUUCCAUAAAACUUUACUGGACUAAAAUAGCUCAAAAGUUUAUAGAAGAGGAGAAUGAGCAAAAUCUCCAAUUGAUGUUGGCAAAAUUCACAGCACACUUAUCUGCAAAACUUAAAUAUACCCCUCAAAACCUUUUCCCAGAAUUAAUCAAUAACCCAUGAGUCAUAAAGCCCAUAAUAGAAGAAACCCUGCAAGGCAUAAAGCUUAUAAUAGAAGUCUCAAGGCCUGAUUAUCCCCCAUUAUCCCCCAUUCUAGCCCUAUUCCAUCAUGCCAGUGAGAAAAACCUAAGGGACAAGGGUGGAAGUUUGUUCUUUACCUCAGAACAAUAAACAACGCUUUGCUAUUCCUUGAUACCCUGUUGUCUCUAACCCUCAUAGGUUAUUAACAUCCAUUUCCACUGAAAUCAAAUUCUUUACUAUAAUCGAUUUAUAAGUACAUCCUCUGGUAUUCCAUUGGAUGAUGAUAGCCAGUAUCAUUUUGCCUUCACUAGGGAAGAAAAACAACUCACCUGGACAGUAAUCCCUCAGGGUUAUACUGAAAUUCUUUAUGUCUUACAAAUUCUGAAGGCUGAUUUGGAUGUCAUCAAAACUCCUUCAGGAUUCUACUUUGCUGAGAUAUAUGAAUCAUUUGCUUGUUUGCUUUCCUUCUCAAGCCUCCUCACAGGAAGAGAACAUCCAGUUGCUAAAGCUUAGGCCUUAAAGGGACAUAAGGAUGCCAAGAAAACUGCAGUCUGCCCAAGCUCAGGAUCAAUUUUAGGGCACUGGAUAUCAGAGCAAGAGCUACACCUAUAUCCAGAUAGAGUUUAUGGCGUUCUAAAACCCAAAACUAAAUGCUAACUGUGAGGUUUUCUCAGGUCAGUUACCUUUUGCUGAAUUUGAUUCCAAUUUCUCUCUUAUGGCCAAAGCUCUAUAUGUUUCAUACUCAACAAUAAUAAUCCUGAUCUAAUUUUAUGGGAAGAGCCAGAUUACACAGCCUUCAAGCUCUUAAAGGAGAAACUGAUGAACUCACCCACCUUCCUGCAUCCCAAUUAUCAGCUUCCCUUUUUUUUUCCUUUUUGUUUAUGAAAAGAAAGGGAGUGCCCUUGAGAUAAUCCACCAAAAACACAGGGACCAUCAUCAAUCGAUAGGGUAUUAUAGCCAGCAACCAGACCCUAUUACACGGGAAUAUAUUCCUUGCCUUACAGCCAUUAUGGUCAUUGCCCUUUUGGUUAAGACCACAGAGAAAACCCCUUUUACCAUUUUUGUACCUCCUGCAACAGAAGCUCUCCUGAGUCCUCAUCACACAUGAUAUUUCUCAGCCAGUUGUCUCAUCUCUUAGGAAGUCCUUUUGUUAACUGCUCCUCACACAACUCUUUUACCUUAUAAUAACCUCAUCCAGGCUACUUUCUCCCCUCCAUCACUUAUGAAGUCCCCUAUGACUGUUUAACACUGAAAAACUACCUCCUGACUCUCUGUGAUGACCUACAAAGAAAUUCUACCGGGAAAUGUUGAUUUCUCAUGGUUUGCUAAUAAUUCUUACUUAAGAGUGGUAAUGGUAAGUAUUAUCCUGGGGAUGUUAUUACAACUCAUUUUGAUGUUGUUGAGAAAGAAUUUCUACCUAUUACUACUUCAGCACAACAGGCUGAAUGAUACACUCUUGUACAGGUUAUGUUUUAGCCAAGUACAAAACUUCCAAUAGUUAUACUGAUAGUAAAUAUGCUUUUGGAGUAGCUCAUGAUUUUGGAAUAUUGUGGAAGCAAUGUGUCUUCCUCACUUCCAGUGGCAAUAAAAUAUAAAAAUGCCCCUAUGCUCAGGAAUUACUUUGUACAAUACUUUUAACCAGUGCCUUAGCUAUCAUUAAGAUGCCUGAGCAUUCUAAACUUGAUCCUAAUAUGUAAGCUAAGGGUAAUCACCUUGCUUAUAUUUUUGUAAGGAAUGCUACCUUAAAAAAAAUUCAACAUCAAUUUUUCCCCAAAUAAUAUUUAGAAAAACUGGCUAGAGAAGCCCAACUAUUGGCCUCAGGAAAGGAAAACCAAGGUUGGGAAUAUAAGAAUUAUUGUUUUGAUAAAAAGAGAAAGCUCUGAUUUGGACCAAAUAACAAUAUAGUCUUACCAGAGACUCUAAAAUUCCCACUCCUCACCAAUGUAUAUGCAUUAAACAAUUAUUCUACCAACAAAAUAAUAGCAUUUAUGAGUCAAUAUUGGUUGGGAAACAUUAACAAGGCUGCAAAAAGUGCCUUGUUCAAAGCACAACCCAGAGGAACUUGUUUUUACUGCUUCUGGAAUUUUAAACUGCUUAAUGGACCACUGGAGGUCUGGCAAAUGUAUUUCAUACAACUUCCUCUGUCUAAUAUAUAUAAAACAUGCUUUAGUCACAGUCUGUAUGUUUUCACACUAGACUGAAGCCUUCCUUGCAGACUGGCUACUAUCUCUUUUAUGGACAGGGAAAGAUUGGAAAAGAUUAUUCCUACUUGAGGAACUCUUCUGAAACUCCAUAGUGAUCCAGGCACCCAUUUUACUGGUCAGGUGCUUCAACAAAUCUGUGCUAAUUGGCCAGUUUUACAACAAUUUCACUGUGCUAAAUAACCACUCUCAAUCCUCUGCUUUAGUCUAAUGCAGUAAUGGCAUCAUUAAGACUCACUUCUCAUAAUUUGUAGAGGCCCUCCAGAUACCUGGGCCAAAAUCAUUGCCUUAAGUCCUUCUAAAUCUCAGAUCUACCCUUUUGCAACUCAUAAACUCUCAUCUUUUGAGACAGUCACAGGAAACCCAAUGUACUUGGCUCCUGCUUCUUUUGAUCCACACUAACGAAAGAAGAGUUAGUUACUCCAAUAUUUCAAAGACCUAGCUGCUUCUACUAAAAAUAAGCAUGUUUUGGUAGACCAAUCUUUUCACAACGUGCCCUAAGUAGGUGAAGACAUCUUGCAAUCUGGAAAUUUUGUCUAUUAGAAACAAACCCUCUAGAAGAAGUACUCCCUUAAACCCUACUGGAAAGGCCCCAGUUGAGAAUUACUAAACAACCCCUGUGCUACCCAACUCCAAGAAAGAUAAUCUUGGAUUCACAGGACACACCUAAAGAAAACACCAAAUCCUGACCAGACUGGCACAUCAUCUUGUAAUCUCAAAUAAAAAUUUACCAAAUGGGGAGUUCCCGUCGUGGCGGAGUGGUUAACGAAUUCGACUAAGAACCAUGAGGUUGCGGGUUUGAUCCCUGCCCUUGCUCAGUGGGUUAACGAUCCGGCGUUGCCAUGAGCUGUGGUGUAGAUCGCAGACGUGGCUCAGAUCCUGCGUUGCUGUGGCUCUGGUGCAGGCCAGCAGCUACAGCUCUGAUUGGACCCCUAGCCUGGGAAGCUCCAUAUGCAGCAGGAGCGGCCCAAGAAAUGGCAAAAG